rnacentral:rRNA from 1 species
UGUCAGCAGCCGCGGUAAUACAUAGGGUGCAAGCGUUGUCCGGAAUUAUUGGGCGUAAAGAGCUCGUAGGUGGUUAGUUACGUCGGAUGUGAAAAUCUAGGGCUCAACCCUAGACCUGCAUCCGAUACGGGCUAGCUUGAGUUUGGUAGGGGAGACUGGAAUUCCUGGUGUAGCGGUGGAAUGCGCAGAUAUCAGGAGGAACACCAAUGGCGAAGGCAGGUCUCUGGGCCAAUACUGACACUGAGGAGCGAAAGUGUGGGGAGCGAACAGGAUUAGAUACCCUGGUAGUCCACACAGUAAACGAUGGGCACUAGUUGUGGGAACCUUCCACGGUUUCUGCGACGCAGCUAACGCAUUAAGUGCCCCGCCUGGGGAGUACGAUCGCAAGAUUAAAACUCAAAGGAAUUGACGG